UUUCCUAUCUGAACUAUCACC
rnacentral:miRNA from 1 species